rnacentral:tRNA from 4 species
GCCGGGGUGGCAGAGCGGUUAUUGCGCUGGUCUUGAAAACCAGUGGCCGAAAGGCCUCCUGAGUUCGAAUCUCAGCCCCGGCG